CCAGUUUUCCAUGGAUAGUCACUUCAAAUUUCUGACUGAUAGAUCCAUCUUUAAAGAAAAAAUUGAAAUCCCAAAGCAAACUGGAAGAAAAUCUAAAUUCACAGGUCUAGAAGAUAAGAAGAUCAAGCAGUUGCCUAAUUUGUGGAUCCAGACUGGACUUUGGUGGGGAUUUGGCACCUAUUUCAUACGCAGAGCUGAGAAAAAACUGAGAAGUGAUUACUGCAGUGCAUUCAAAUGCCAUGGGAAGGUGAGCAAUGGAAGGCCAGACACCUCCAGACCAAUGGACAGGCUGCUGUGAACAGGAACUGAAGAUAAAGUGUGUGUUUAUAGGUAGCAUUUUAAAACAGCUGCAAUUUCCCUGCUGGACCAACCCUCUGAUUAGACAAGUGGAAAAGCUAUGAAGUAUACUCUGUAAUAAAUGUCAGAGCAAAGAAGAGCAAAGAACUGAAAAACACCCUAUUAGAGGCUAGCAAGAGCCAGGAAAUAAAAGAAGAACCUGUGUCAAAAAGCAAAAAAAAAUUCAAGAGCAGAACAGAAGUUCAAGUGUGACAAAGAAAAGGAUCACAGCCCUUUUGUAACUCGAUAAAGAAAAGAUUUUCCUAUAGACACAAAGACAUGUAAACCAUGACAGCACAGUGCUUCCCAAGCAAAGGAAAAAAAAAAAGGAAAAAAAAAAAGAGAAAAAAACUUUGCAAGAAAUUAAACAGUCUGAACCAUGGAAGUCAGAUGGUGAGAGCAUUCCUAGAAAAUCACUUUAUCUACAGAUAUGUCUGGAAAAUAAAGAAAGAAUGAAGUGACUUUACUGAAAUGAGACUGACCACUGUGAGGCUGCUGCAUAAUAUGCAAGGCU